GGAGGAUCAUUAUCGUAGGGCUUCGGCCCUGUCGAGAUAGAACCCUUGCCUUUUUGAGUACCUUUCGUUUCCUCGGCAGGCUCGCCUGCCAAUGGGGACCACAAAAAACACUUUGCAGUACCUGUAACAGCCUGAACAAACAAACAAAAAUUAAAACUUUCAACAACGGAUCUCUUGGUUCUGGCAUCGAUGAAGAACGCAGCGAAAUGCGAUAAGUAGUGUGAAUUGCAGAAUUCAGUGAAUCAUCGAAUCUUUGAACGCACAUUGCGCCCUUUGGUAUUCCUUAGGGCAUGCCUGUUCGAGCGUCAUUUAAACCUUCAAGCUAAGCUUGGUGUUGGGUGACUGUCCGCUUCACGGCGGACUCGCCUCAAAAUUAUUGGCGGCCGGUACAUUGGCUUCGAGCGCAGCAGAAACGCGAACUCGGGCCCGUCGUAUUGGCUCCCAGAAGCUAUCUUCACAAUUUUGACCUCGGAUCAGGUAGGGAUACCCGCUGAACUUAAGCAUAUCAAUAAGCGGAGGA
rnacentral:rRNA from 1 species